AACGCGGGCGGCAGGCCUAACACAUGCAAGUCGAGCGGUAGAGAGAAGCUUGCUUCUCUUGAGAGCGGCGGACGGGUGAGUAAUACCUAGGAAUCUGCCUGAUAGUGGGGGAUAACGUUCGGAAACGGACGCUAAUACCGCCUACGUCCUACGGGAGAAAGCAGGGGACCUUCGGGCCUUGCGCUAUCAGAUGAGCCUAGGUCGGAUUAGCUAGUUGGUGAGGUAAUGGCUCACCAAGGCUACGAUCCGUAACUGGUCUGAGAGGAUGAUCAGUCACACUGGAACUGAGACACGGUCCAGACUCCUACGGGAGGCAGCAGUGGGGAAUAUUGGACAAUGGGCGAAAGCCUGAUCCAGCCAUGCCGCGUGU
rnacentral:rRNA from 1 species